rnacentral:rRNA from 1 species
GACGAACGCAGGCGGCGUGCUUAACACAUGCAAGCCGAACGGAAAGGCUCCGCUGUGGUUGGGCUCUGGAGUGGCGAACGGGUGAGUAACACGUGAGUAACCUGCCCUUGACUGUGGGUUAACUUCAGGAAACUGAGGCUAAUACCGGAUUGGAGCUUCUGUCGCAUGGUGGGGGUUGGAAUGUUUGGGCGGUUGGGGAUGGACUCGCGGCUUAUUAGCUUGUUGGUGGGGUAGUGGCUGACCAAGGCUUUGAUGGGUAGCCGGCCUGAGAGGGUGACCGGCCACAUUGGGACUGAGAUACGGCCCAGACUCCUACGGGAGGCAGCAGUGGGGAAUAUUGCACAAUGGGCGGAAGCCUGAUGCAGCAACGCCGCGUGCGGGAUGACGGCCUUCGGGUUGUAAACCGCUUUCGCCUGUGACGAAGCGUGAGUGACGGUAAUGGGUAAAGAAGCACCGGCUAACUACGUG